rnacentral:sRNA from 1 species
CCGAUGCCGAUGGAGAGAAGGUGAGAAGCCUCGUCGGGUUCGAGCAGAGCAGCUUGCUGCGAUGAACGGCCGCAGGUCGCCCCGAAGGGGUGAGCCACGCGGUGGUGAAUUAUUCCUCCCUCACCGCCA